UACGAAGGGGGCUAGCGUUGCUCGGAAUGACUGGGCGUAAAGGGCGCGUAGGCGGCUUGCACCGUCAGAUGUGAAAUUCCUGGGCUUAACCUGGGGGCUGCAUUUGAUACGUGUGGGCUUGAGUGCGGAAGAGGGUCGUGGGAAUUCCCAUGUGUAGAGGUGAAAUUCGUAGAUAUUAGGGAAGAACACCGGUGGCGAAGGCGGCGACCUGGUCCGUGACUGACGCUGAGGCGCG
rnacentral:rRNA from 1 species